rnacentral:lncRNA from 1 species
UCUGUCCUCCGUAUCCUCAGCCUGACUCUCUGUCCUCAAACAAAGUGAGCUACAGCGUUAGGUCACCUUGGAAGGAAAUGACACGGUUGUCCCCAGGGUCCCAUAACCAAGGCCUGAAGUCUGUCCUCUAGGAAGAUGACACUUCGACACCCCUCCUGCCUGUAGGGAACAACAGUGCUGUGGGAAGGACGGGGGUGCACUGUGGAAGCAGUGAGACGCUCACUGCCCAGGACCUGCACUUUAAUGGCUCAUUGCUGUUGAAAGAUGAACAAGGUCCAACGUCCUGGCUCAGUGGCUCCACAGGGAUUCUUUGUGUUCCAAACACAUCCAAGGUUACAGAUGCCUCCGGGUCCUCAGGCUGUGCGUGUCACCUCCCACACACCUCUUCAUCACACUGUGGAGACCACAGGGGCCAUCAGCCUGGUCGCACUCCUCAGAGGCUAGUGGCGCCCACCACCCAAAUUGUGAAGGAGGCACACUGGACAUGGGAAGCAUCCUAACGCGCGUGUUACUCUCUUCCACGGGAGAACGGGAGGCAGGACAUCAUGGCCAUACUAAGGCCUGACAGACACACCUAGCAGACUUCUGAGGACAGGCCUGCCUUGGACCAACACCCAUUAGAAGACUCAAAGAAGGGCUGGCUGAAGCACCAGUGUCAGUUUCCAUGAGACAAACUGGAGAGCAGAGCAGAUGGCAGUAGCAAGAAGAAAGGGAGAGGUCAGCCCAGGCUCUGAGUCCGGGAAGAGUCGCACCUCCUGAGAAGUAACCACCAUCCAGAAACUCCUGCAGGCCCAGGGCCUCAGGCCCCACGCCCACCAGGCGCACAUCGUGUUGGUCCAGGAUGCUCCGGAGGUUGCUGAGGUCCUGGGCGAUCCAGCGGCACACCAUGCAGCCGAAGCGUCGCAGACCGGCCACCACACAAGCUUUCUCCUGCCAUAGGCUCCGCAGCUCCACAGCCUACAGAAUGGAUCGGUCAGGGGACAUGGGCUCACCAACCCCCUAUGCCCGGCAGCCUCACAUGUCCCGCAGCGUGCUGCUCCAAGAUUCGCAGCUGACUGGUCCUCCUGAUGGUUCCUCUGUGGACCAUGAGCUGUACCCACGCCCAGUACGCGAACUCAUAGGACCCCUCAGGACCUCCACUCCAACCCAUGUGAGUUGCCAAGGCUCUGGGCCAGGUAUUAGGGGAGGCGUUCUCCGCCCUGCGCGAGCCAAAUCUCACCUCCCCAGUCACUGCAUGUUUCAAGACACACGCUCCUACGCGACCAAGGUCCACCACAUUCAUGGCCUCCUCCGUCCCUUUCUGCUCCACGGUCCCUUCUCGCAGCCUGGGGAGGCUCACUCUGUC